ACAGCAGAGGACUCCGAUGCGGAGCCGCGUUCAAGUCACCACAUCCGUGUCACUGUCACAUUCCUUUGGGUUCCACUUGGUGGAUCAGGGUCGCCACCGUGCGCCGCCCCAAAUUCUACUGUCAAAACGCGGACCAUAAUCGCAUCCAUAUCUGAUUCACAAACGCGGACGCGCUGUAAAAUCUAACGGACGUUGGUACAGUUUUUGUUGGGGCAGACACGACCGAACAGCGCUCUCCAUAAACAGGUGGAAUUACCUCUGGGUCGGACAGGGCUAGCCGGCUGUAAUCCACCCUGCUACAGUGAUGCCCGCCUGCCUCCCGGCUUUUACGACCAAGAAUCGGAGCGCUGAUGUGAUGUUUCCCCGUCGACUGAUGAGGGAAGGCAGCCACGACACGCGAUUGUUCAACAUGACAGUGAGACAGAAAAAUAAUGUCAAGAUAAAUAAAAAAUCAUGAUGAGUGAAGUUCUUCGUCAGGUUGUGUUUUUUUCGGGAUCUUAUUUAAACGGUGUCUAGGCCAGGUCUGUGUUAUCUGUAGAAUUAAAUCUAAAUGCUGUUUGUAACGGUUAACUGGUUUAGUGUUCGUUUAUUGGGAUUAUAGCAUAAUAAGAAAGUAACUUUAUGAGCACGGAUCCAAAAUGGUCCCGGCCCGGAACAUCUAUGAGUCCGGAAUGGGUCCGUAACUGAUAAAAAGUAGUGGAACCGUGACGGAUGCAAUAAGUGGACACGUAAUGAGUCCGCAUCGGAUGUCGCGCCUCCGAACCGGGCUCACUGCGGAGGUACGCUUCUGCACGCGGACCCGUUGCGGGUGACAAACGGGUCCCUUUUGACUCCGCACCACGCCUCCGCGUCGGAUGAUAGGCGGCGUGCAAGUGGACGCCGAUACGGCCCCGUUUACCGGAUCCGUUCCGGAGGAUGGCCUCCGGAUGGUGGACUCCGGGGCGGAUCCAUUACGGUGUACUUUUGC